UACAGAGGUCUCAAGCGUUUGUUCGGAUUCAUUGGGCGUAAAGGGUGCGUAGGUGGCGAGGAAAGUCGGAUGUGAAAGCUCGGAGCUCAACUCCGAAAUGGCAUUGGAAACUACCUUGCUCGAGGGUUGGAGGGGGGACUGGAAUUCUCGGUGUAGCAGUGAAAUGCGUAGAUAUCGAGAGGAACACCAGUGGCGAAGGCGAGUCCCUGGACAACUCCUGACACUGAGGCACGAAAGCUAGGGGAGCAAACAGG
rnacentral:rRNA from 1 species